GGAAUAUAAUUCUUGAUGUCUUUUUUUUAUAAUUCUAGAAGAAGCUCGAGGGUACAAAAAAUGCAGAUUUUGUUUUACACUACACAUUUUAUUUAUUACACUAGUAGUUGUAACUUUAUAAUAUGUUACACAAAUCAACCUAAAACCCGAUUCGUUUUCUCCCCAUGCUUUAUGUUUAUAUCAUUGAAAAAGCUCUAGAUUAUCUCCCUUUGGU
rnacentral:lncRNA from 1 species